UUUCUUUCUUUUUUUCUUUUUUUUCAUUCUUUGAUCCAUUCAUCACCCCGGAUUUCAAAACCCAUUAAAACUCAUUAAAACCUCAUACGGAAGACCAUCAAAGUAUAAUUAGCAAGGGGAAAGGGGGGGGGUAAGCAGGGUAAAACACUAACUAACUAACUCGCCCUUCCAACAAACAAGCGACAGAAGGAGACAAGAGAAGGAAAGCCGCAUGCGGCUGACACCGCCCAUUCUUCCACCUCCCGUGACCCCUUAGUUCUCCGACUUCUGAGAACGGCCAUCACCACUCAUCACCUCUCCACAAUAAUCAGAUACAUCGCGCGAUCCCGACACACUUAAGCCCGCACCGAAAAAGUGCGCGAAAAGGGAAGAAUCAUAUGUAGUCAUAAUGUAUCUUGUAGCGUGUUCUAUGAGCAUCCUAGCUACCUUCUAUGGUAUAUGUACUGUAAAUGUCUCUGUAUCAUCAUUCUAUUUAUUUGACCCUGUUCCCUGAUCACAAUCGCGAUCCUCUGGGUCAUUAUAUCAUCAAUCAAAAUCAAGCGCGAGUGGCUGUGGGCUGAGUGGCUGUUCGGUCAAGUCAGUCAGUCAGUCAGUCAGGAACGCACUCGAGUGCUCCAGCCGGCGCACAACAGACAGCAGGCAGAGCGGUUGGACGCGACAUGCAUAACAAAAACAACAUUGCAGCUUCGUACCAGGGCUCGAUCCUAGCUUUGUCUCUCAACUGUUCUGACACUUGAUAGAUAUUUCGUCCCGCAUGGAUACUAUGGAUGCAGGGAGAGUGAAGUGGGUGAAGGGCAGACAAACAGACAAAGCAAGCCAGGAAACCCCCCCCCCCGUUUGUUCGUUUGUUCGUUCGUUAGUACUGAACUACGGGGGUAACUGACAGGAAGUAAUCUCACAAAGCUGCGAAAGCUGGAGCAAAUGCACGAUCCCUCCGCCGUUCGUGGAGAAGCAGGUUUUCCUUGUUCCCCCAGGUUGCCCAAAUAAGAAACUCGGACGACAGUGAACAGGCCAGAACCUUGCUCGCGCGCCUAUCUUUCGCCUUCAAGAAAAGCAAAGUCCCUUUUCUUCGCACCCCCCCCACCUCCCUUCCCCGCAAAAAUGUCAGAUCUCGAGCAGGGGUCGAAAAAGCAUCAUGAAUCAUGCAUUGUUGCUUGAUGAUGAAACAGACCAUAACAAAGGCCACAUCAUCCCCAUCCAACCAAACAGAAAAUUAUUGUAUACUAGUUAGGAGGAUUGAUAACAUUCCUCAACCAAGCAUCAAUUCAGGCGGUAGAU
rnacentral:sRNA from 1 species